AUUGAACGCUGGCGGCAUGCCUUACACAUGCAAGUCGAACGGCAGCGGGGGAGAAGCUUGCUUUUCCUGCCGGCGAGUGGCGAACGGGUGAGUAAUACACCGGAACGUGCCCUGUAGUGGGGGAUAACUAGUCGAAAGAUUAGCUAAUACCGCAUACGACCUGAGGGUGAAAGUGGGGGACCGCAAGGCCUCAUGCUAUAGGAGCGGCCGAUGUCUGAUUAGCUAGUUGGUGGGGUAAAGGCCUACCAAGGCGACGAUCAGUAGCUGGUCUGGGAGGACGAUCAGCCACACUGGGACUGAGACACGGCCCAGACUCCUACGGGAGGCAGCAGUGGGAAUUUUGGACAAUGGGCGAAAGCCUGAUCCAGCAAUGCCGCGUGUGUGAAGAAGGCCUUCGGGUUGUAAAGCACUUUUGUCCGGAAAGAAAUGGCUCUGGUUAAUACCUGGGGUCGAUGACGGUACCGGAAGAAUAAGGACCGGCUAACUACGUGCCAGCCGCCGCAGUAA
rnacentral:rRNA from 1 species